UACGAAGGGGGCUAGCGUUGCUCGGAAUCACUGGGCGUAAAGCGCACGUAGGCGGCUUACUAAGUCAGGGGUGAAAUCCUGGAGCUCAACUCCAGAACUGCCUUUGAUACUGGUGAGCUUGAGUCCGGAAGAGGUGAGUGGAACUGCGAGUGUAGAGGUGAAAAUUCGUAGAUAUCGCAAGAACACCAGUGGCGAAGGGCGGCUCA
rnacentral:rRNA from 1 species